rnacentral:rRNA from 1 species
UACGGGGGGGGCAAGCGUUGUUCGGAAUUACUGGGCGUAAAGGCUCGUAGGCGGCCAACUAAGUCGGAUGUGAAUCCCCAAGCUUAACUUGGGAACUGCAUCCGAUACUGGAUGGCUUGAAUCCGGGAGAGGGAUGCAGAAUUCCAGGUGUAGCGGUGAAAUGCGUAGAUAUCUGGAGGAAUACCGGUGGCGAAGGCGGCAUCCUGGACCAUUACUGACGCUGAGGCGCGAAAGCUAGGGGAGCAAACGGG